rnacentral:rRNA from 1 species
GACGAACGCUGGCGGCGUGCUUAACACAUGCAAGUCGAACGAUGAAGCCCAGCUUGCUGGGUGGAUUAGUGGCGAACGGGUGAGUAACACGUGGGUGAUCUGCCCUGCACUUCGGGAUAAGCCUGGGAAACUGGGUCUAAUACCGGAUAUGACUUCGAAUCGCAUGGUUUGGGGUUGAAAGUUUUUUCGGUGCAGGAUGAGCCCGCGACCUAUCAGCUUGUUGGUGGGGUAAUGGCCUACCAAGGCGACGACGGGUAGCCGGCCUGAGAGGGCGACCGGCCACACUGGGACUGAGACACGGCCCAG